UACGUAGGGUCCGAGCGUUGUCCGGAAUCAUUGGGCGUAAAGAGCGUGUAGGCGGCCAAUUAAGUCCUGCGUGAAAUCUCGGGGCUCAACCCCGAGCGGUCGUGGGAAACUGGUUGGCUAGAGUGCGGGAGAGGAGAGUGGAAUUCCUGGUGUAGCGGUGAAAUGCGCAGAUAUCAGGAAGAACACCCGUGGCUAAGGCGGCUCUCUAGUACGGUACUGACGCUGAGACGCGAAAGCGUGGGGAGCGAACAGG
rnacentral:rRNA from 1 species